CCUACGGGAGGCAGCAGUGAGGAAUAUUGGUCAAUGGGCGCGAGCCUGAACCAGCCAAGUAGCGUGAAGGAUGACUGCCCUACGGGUUGUAAACUUCUUUUAUAAAGGAAUAAAGUGAGGCACGUGUGCCUUUUUGUAUGUACUUUAUGAAUAAGGAUCGGGUAACUCCGUGCCAGCAGCCGCGGUAAUACGGAGGAUCCGAGCGUUAUCUGGAUUGAUUGGGUUUAAAGGGAGCGUAGAUGGGUUUUUACUGCAGGUGGGAAAGUUUGCGGCUCAACCGUAAAAUUGCAAUUGAUACUGGCAGUCUUGAGUACAGUUGAGGUAGGCGGAAUUCGUGGUGUAGCGGUGAAAUGCUUAGAUAUCACGAAGAACUCCGAUUGCGAAGGCAGCUUACUAAACUGCCACUGACAUUGAUGCUCGAAAGUGUGGGUAUCAAACAGGAUUAGAUACCCGAGUAGUC
rnacentral:rRNA from 1 species